rnacentral:tRNA from 2 species
CAAGAGUUAUUUUAAUUAAAAUAUUGAUUUUGGGGAUCAAUGAUGGAAGUAUUUUUCUACUCUUGA